rnacentral:rRNA from 1 species
GAUGAACGCUGGCGGCGUGCCUAAUACAUGCAAGUCGAGCGAACGGACGAGAAGCUUGCUUCUCUGAUGUUAGCGGGGACGGGUGAGUAACACGUGGAUACCUACCUAUAAGACUGGGAUAACUUCGGGAAACCGUAGCUAAUACCGGAUAAUAUUUUGAACCGCAUGGUUCAAAAGUGAAAGACGGUCUUGCUGUCACUUAUAGAUGGAUCCGCGCUGCAUUAGCUAGUUGGUAAGGUAACGGCUUACCAAGGCAACGAUGCAUAGCCGACCUGAGAGGGUGAUCGGCCACACUGGAACUGAGACACGGUCCAGACUCCUACGGGAGGCAGCAGUAGGGAAUCUUCCGCAAUGGGCGAAAGCCUGACGGAGCAACGCCGCGUGAGUGAUGAAGGUCUUCGGAUCGUAAAACUCUGUUAUUAGGGAAGAACAUAUGUGUAAGUAACUGUGCACAUCUUGACGGUACCUAAUCAGAAAGCCACGGCUAACUACGUG